rnacentral:lncRNA from 1 species
CAGGUAUGUCCAUCAAAGCGUGUAAAUUAGUCGAUCCUUCAUGUAUUUUGACUAGAUGAAUAUGAUAAGUUCCAUGUAUACCAGCAUCACCAAAAUAAUUUUGACAUGGCGAUGCUUAAUUGUGAAUGAUGUGGAUGAAAAUUGGGUCCAAUGAAUCUGAUGGGAUCAGAGCUAUUUCCAAAGUCAUGACUCAAAAACCAACAUUGUCCAAGUACAAGGACAGUCCAUGUAAUAUACCAUCUAAUUGAUCAUUCAACACACACGAAGGGCAUUACAAAGUCCCUCAAUCUCUCCAAACCAUUGAGCAUACAGUGACCAGUUUCAAUCACAAUCUGCAGACAUGGAUAGUGAAGGAUUAUCCAGCAGAGCUCAUGUUGACACUCUUAGCUUGCGUCGUCGUGACAAUACAGUCCACCAUUGUGGCUCUGAUAGUGGAGAAAGACGUGAAUGCUUGGAAGUUGAAGCCUGACAUAGAGUUGAUGACCAUAGUUUACUCGGUAAGCACCAAGUACAGAGAAUGCAACUGUUUGAAAUAUAAAAGCUAAAAGCACUUCUGACUAGUAAAUUUGUGCUUGAUAACAUCAUGGGCGAUUGAUCCUUUAUAGGCAUUUUUCGUGGUAUCUAUAAGGAGUGUGACGCACACAUGGGUGUGCAAGACCAAAGGGCCUCUCUACCUCUCCAUGAUUAAGCCACUUGGCAUGAUCAUUGCCUCUGUGAUGGGGGUUUCUUUGCUUGGUGACACUCUUUAUCUUGGAAGGUAUGAGCAAAUUAAGUCAUUUUCUGAAGAAGAAGAAAACAUGAGUUCAGUCAACUAGAUUCAAUGUCUUGUUGAUCUUUUUCCAAGACAGUAGCAUAUACAACUUGAUUCAAAUUGUGUGUGUGCAGUGUGAUUGGAGGAAUCAUAAUAGCUUUUGGGUUUUAUGCUGUCGUGUGGGGGAAAGCCCAGGAAGAGAAGGUGGUUGAAGAAAGUGGAAGUAUCAGCUGCGAGUCUUCCUCUCCUAAAGUACCUCUUUUGAACAAACACAUGGAAGCAUAGCACAUCUCUUACCUAGACUGCCAUCCGAUUUUGGAUUCAUAUUCGGAUACAUGGCCAGGCUCAAACAGGGAAUUUUUAUAGAACAACAUGCACUUUUGUUCAUUUGUUUGUAUGCUCAGAUGCUUUUAUUAGAUAAAGCAGACUUACUUGCAUGCUUAGGACUUCUGAUCCUUGUAAAGUUUCCAUUGCCAAGUAUCUUUUUUGGUGUCUUGGCAUUGUAAUGUUUUUCUUUUUGAUCCACUGCUGGCGGGUGAAAGAAGAACUCGUC